rnacentral:rRNA from 1 species
AUUGAACGCUGGCGGCAUGCUUUACACAUGCAAGUCGAACGGCAGCACGGGGGCAACCCUGGUGGCGAGUGGCGAACGGGUGAGUAAUAUAUCGGAACGUACCCGGAAAUGGGGGAUAACGUAGCGAAAGUUACGCUAAUACCGCAUAUGCCCUAAGGGGGAAAGCGGGGGAUUCGCAAGAACCUCGCGUUUUCGGAGCGGCCGAUAUCGGAUUAGCUAGUAGGUGAGGUAAAGGCUCACCUAGGCGACGAUCCGUAGCUGGUCUGAGAGGACGACCAGCCACACUGGAACUGAGACACGGUCCAGACUCCUACGGGAGGCAGCAGUGGGGAAUUUUGGACAAUGGGCGCAAGCCUGAUCCAGCCAUGCCGCGUGAGUGAAGAAGGCCUGGUGUAAGCUCUUUAGUCCGGUAAAGAAAACGAC